rnacentral:rRNA from 1 species
GACGAACGCUGGCGGCGUGCUUAACACAUGCAAGUCGAACGGAAAGGCCCUGCUUUUGUGGGGUGCUCGAGUGGCGAACGGGUGAGUAACACGUGAGUAACCUGCCCUUGACUUUGGGAUAACUUCAGGAAACUGGGGCUAAUAUCGGAUAGGAGCUCCUGCUGCAUGGUGGGGGUUGGAAAGUUUCGGCGGUUGGGGAUGGACUCGCGGCUUAUCAGCUUGUUGGUGAGGUAGUGGCUUACCAAGGCUUUGACGGGUAGCCGGCCUGAGAGGGUGACCGGCGACAAUGGGACUAAGGUACGGACCAGUCUCCUACGGGAGGCAGCAGGGGGAAGUAUUGCAGAGUGGGCGGAAGCGAGUUGCAGCAGCGCCGCGUGCGGGAUGACGGCCUUCGGGGUGUGAACAGCUUUCGACUGUGACGAGGCGUGAGUGACGGUAAUGGGUAAGGAAGCACCGGCUAACUACGUG